UACGUAGGUGGCAAGCGUUGUCCGGAUUUACUGGGCGUAAAGGGCGUGCAGGCGGUUUGUUAAGUCUAGGGUGAAAGCUCCCGGCUCAACUGGGAGAGGUCCUUGGAUACUGGCAGACUUGAGGAGGGUAGAGGAGAGUGGAAUUCCCGGUGUAGUGGUGAUAUGCGUAGAUAUCGGGAGGAACACCAGUGGCGAAGGCGACUUACUGGACACAUAUUGACGCUGAGGUGCGAAAGCGUGGGGAGCAAACAGG
rnacentral:rRNA from 1 species